UUCCUCUUGUUGCACAAUGGGGCAGUGCGUCUGGCUGUUAACCAGAAGGUUGGUGGUUCGAGCUCACCCAGGGAAA